rnacentral:lncRNA from 1 species
AGGAUUUUGCUAUCAGACAACACCUCUUAAACAACGGUGAAAAAAAAAACCGUUGUCCGAAAUUGACAGACAAUGGUGGAUUUCUUUGACAUGAAAAACUGUUGUCUGAUAGGUUCUAUAACAACAGUUAUAGCUAUUUUUUGAAAGUGUUGUUUGUUGGAUGUUCUAUUACCAAGUUAGACAACCGUUUAAAAAUGCACUAUUGUAAAAUCUCUUUAACCACAACACUUAAAACCCGUUGUUAAUAAACUAAGUUUUUGUAGUAUGAGACAACAGUUUUGGCCUUUAUGUUGUGUAAUUCAAACAAGUGUUUAUUAUAAUAGUUGUC